rnacentral:rRNA from 1 species
CAGCCGCGCGGGAAUACGGAGGGUGCAAGCGUUAAUCGGAAUUACUGGGCGUAAAGCGCACGCAGGCGGUCUGACAAGUCAGAUGUGAAAUCCCCGGGCUUAACCUGGGAACUGCAUUUGAAACUGUCAGGCUGGAGUCUUGUAGAGGGGGGUGGAAUUCCAGGUGUAGCGGUGAAAUGCGUAGAGAUCUGGAGGAAUACCGGUGGCGAAGGCGGCCCCCUGGACAAAGACUGACGCUCAGGUGCGAAAGCGUGGGGAGCAAACAGGAUUAGAUACCCCGGUAGUCCCUGUCUCUUAUACA